GAUGAACGCUGGCGGCGUGCCUAAUACAUGCAAGUCGAGCGAACAGACGAGGAGCUUGCUCCUCUGACGUUAGCGGCGGACGGGUGAGUAACACGUGGAUAACCUACCUAUAAGACUGGGAUAACUUCGGGAAACCGGAGCUAAUACCGGAUAAUAUAUUGAACCGCAUGGUUCAAUAGUGAAAGACGGUUUUGCUGUCACUUAUCGAUGGAUCCGCGCCGCAUUAGCUAGUUGGUAAGGUAACGGCUUACCAAGGCAACGAUGCGUAGCCGACCUGAGAGGUUGAUCGGCCACCCUGGAACUGAGACACGGUCCAGACUCCUACGGGAGGCAGCAGUAGGGAAUCUUCCGCAAUGGGCGAAAGCCUGACGGAGCAACGCCGCGUGAGUGAUGAAGGUCUUCGGAUCGUAAAACUCUGUUAUUAGGGAAGAACAAAUGUGUAAGUAACUAUGCACGUCUUGACGGUACCUAAUCAGAAAGCCACGGCUAACUACGUG
rnacentral:rRNA from 1 species